rnacentral:rRNA from 1 species
ACCACUUACAGAUGGACCCGCGGCGCAUUAGCUAGUUGGUGAGGUAACGGCUCACCAAGGCRACGAUGCGUAGCCGACCUGAGAGGGUGAUCGGCCACACUGGGACUGAGACACGGCCCAGACUCCUACGGGAGGCAGCAGUAGGGAAUCUUCCGCAAUGGACGAAAGUCUGACGGAGCAACGCCGCGUGAGUGAUGAAGGUUUUCGGAUCGUAAAGCUCUGUUGUUAGGGAAGAACAAGUGCCGUUCAAAUAGGGCGGCACCUUGACGGUACCUAACCAGAAAGCCACGGCUAACUACGUGCCAGCAGCCGCGGUAAUACGUAGGUGGCAAGCGUUGUCCGGAAUUAUUGGGCGUAAAGGGCUCGCAGGCGGUUUCUUAAGUCUGAUGUGAAAGCCCCCGGCUCAACCGGGGAGGGUCAUUGGAAACUGGGGAACUUGAGUGCAGAAGAGGAGAGUGGAAUUCCACGUGUAGCGGUGAAAUGCGUAGAGAUGUGGAGGAACACCAGUGGCGAAGGCGACUCUCUGGUCUGUAACUGACGCUGAGGAGCGAAAGCGUGGGGAGCGAACAGGAUUAGAUACCCUGGUAGUCCACGCCGUAAACGAUGAGUGCUAAGUGUUAGGGGGUUUCCGCCCCUUAGUGCUGCAGCUAACGCAUUAAG